rnacentral:rRNA from 1 species
GACGAACGCUGGCGGCGUGCUUAACACAUGCAAGUCGAACGAUGAAGCUGGAGCUUGCUCCGGUGGAUUAGUGGCGAACGGGUGAGUAACACGUGAGAAAUCUGCCCUUGACUCUGGGAUAACUGCGGGAAACUGUAGCUAAUACCGGAUAUUUUCCUUGGUGGGCAUCCACUGGGGAAGAAAGAAUUUCGGUCAAGGAUGAUCUCGCGGCCUAUCAGCUAGUUGGUGAGGUAAUGGCUCACCAAGGCGACGACGGGUAGCCGGCCUGAGAGGGUGACCGGCCACACUGGGACUGAGACACGGCCCAGACUCCUACGGGAGGCAGCAGUGGGGAAUAUUGCACAAUGGGCGCAAGCCUGAUGCAGCAACGCCGCGUGAGGGAUGAAGGCCUUCGGGUUGUAAACCUCUUUUAGCAGGGAAGAAGCGAAAGUGACGGUACCUGCAGAAAAAGCACCGGCUAACUACGUGCCAGCCGCCGCCGUAA